AUGUGUGAUGCUGUUGUUCUUGUGAGAGAAUAAUAUACCCUCAGGUUGUCUAUAAUUUUUCUGCGGAAGAAGCAGAACAAGCGAUACCCUCCAGUUGCCGGAACUGUCCUUCACCAACUGAUAAACCGUCGCAAGUUGAACCAAUAUAUGACAGAACUUGCAUGCAAGCACACAACUUACAGGAUGCUUGGCCUUUUUAGAUACACAGUCUACACGGCAGAUCCUGUAAAUGUCGAAUACAUGCUCAAAACAAAUGUUGCUAACUAUGGCAUGGGAUACCUGCAAGAAAUUCUGUCAGGAAUUUAUGGCGAUGGGAUCUUCACUGCGGAAGGGGACAAAUGGAGGCGUCUGAGGAAGGCAUCAAGCUCGCAAUUCUCAACCAACGUACUUAGAGACUUCAGCAGUGAAAUCUUCAAGACCAAUGCAGUAAAACUUUCUAGCAUAAUUCAUGAAGCUGCAACCUGCGGCAAAUCAAUAGAGAUGCAAGUUUUGUUUUUGAAAUCAACCUUGGAUUCAAUCGUCAAGAUUCUACUUGGUAUUGAUCUAGAUACCAUGUCUGGAACAAACAAUGAAGAAAGUAUCAGGUUUUCCAAUGCUUUUGAUGAUACAAACGAAGCUAGCAUUUAUCGUUUUGCUGGCAUCUGGAAGAUCCAACGGUUCUUGAACAUUGGUAGGGAAGCAGUUAUAAGAAAAAAUAUAGAAGUGAUGGAUAACUUUAUAUACGAUUUAAUCAACAGAAAGAUUGAGAAUCUCCGUAAGUCAGAAGAACAGGACGAGCAAUCUGUGAGUUAUUUAAAGAGAAGAGACUUUAUCUCCAAACUUCUGGAAGCUAAAGAGACUGAUCCAAAGUACUUGAGAGACAUGGUCCUCAAUUUUAUUGCUGCCGGCAAAGACACAACUGGUUCUGCUCUUACAUGGUUUAUUUAUAUGAUGUGCAAGCAUCUUGAUAUACAAGAGAAGAUUGCACAGGAAGUUAGAGAAGCAACAGGUCUGAAUAAUACUUCAAGCACCGAUGAAGUUGCAGCCAACCUUACUGAAGAAGCCCUUAUCAAGAUGCAAUAUCUCCGUGCAGCUUUAACUGAGACACUGAGGCUCUAUCCUUCUGUCCCAUUGAAUGGGAGGGUAUGUUUUUCUGAUGAUACCUGGCCUGAUGGAUACAGUGUCAAAAAAGGAGAAUUAGUGAUAUUCCAACCUUAUUCAAUGGGCUGGAUGAAGUUUAUAUGGGGUGAUGAUGCAGAAGAGUUUCGGCCAGAGAGAUGGCUUGAUGGAAAUGGCAAUUUCAAGGAUGAAAGCCCUUUCAAAUUCACAGCCUUCAAUGCUGGUCCAAGAAUUUGUCUGGGAAGGGAUCACAGUUAUCUCCAAAUGAAGAUAUAUUCUGCUGUGCUUUUAAACAACUACAUAUUCAAGCUCACUGACGAGAAUAAGGUGGUGACGUACAAGAAUAUGGUCACUCUCCAUAGCGAUGAAGGCCUUCAUGUUCAUGCCUUUCCAAGAGUUUGA